GGCCCAGAAUCGGGGUUUUGAGGGCGAGAUGAGUUUGUGAUUUAUCCAACUGGCCCACAAAGUCCCGCUUUUGGGGUCA
rnacentral:miRNA from 1 species